UUCUUCAGAUUGUCAUCUUUGAAAGGUUAGUGAUGAUGUAAUGUUUAACUAUAACUUUACAUCACCACUAACCUUUCAAUUAUGACAGUUUGAAGAA